UCAACGAGCGCUUAAACGUCGAAAUAUCUCCAACGGGAAGGAAAUGACGGCUAGAUUUCACUAAUAUCGACGAAAUCUUCGCGAUUUGCGAGCUAUUUUGCUUGUUUCGACGCUUAAACGGUAGUGCCUUACAUUUGCAGUGUAAAACGGAGUGAAAUGAGCGCUUAAACGUCGAAAUAUCUCCAACGGGACGGAAAUUACGGCUAUUUUUCGUCAAAAUCGACGAAAUCUUCGCGAUUUGCGAGCUAUUUUGCUUGUUUCGUCGCUUAAACGGUAGUGCCUUACAUUUGCAGUGUAAAACGGAGUGAAAUGAGGGCUUAAACGUCGAACUCUCUCCAACGGGACGGAAAUUACGGCUAUUUUUCGACAAAAUCGACGAAAUCUUCGCGAUUUACGAGCUAUUUUGUGUCACAUCCCGCGCUCCGCACGCGCCGUAACGAGAACAAGAAAACUAUUUUAUACAAAACGCGCGAAUAAAGAUUUGAAGACACAAACGAACACACGGCGCCACGAAACUAAAGGAGGGAUUAACAAAGUGAGGGGCGACUAAUAAAUCCAAUCAGUAUAAAAUAAAAUAAAAUAAAUAAAACCAGCUAACGGAUUGAACGAGUUACGAACCAAACAAAUAAAUCAGGAAAUAAGAAUAACUACGGAAAGUGAAAUAAUUGAAACGCCAGAAAUACGAGUAUAUGUAAAUAUAUUUUAAUCAAUCAACUUGAAGGGUUACAUAUAAGUAUAAACAUAUAUGCUAGGCACGUAAUAAAUUAGUAAAUAUUAGAGUUAGCGCUUAUAAUACUAUGCAAUAAAUACAAUAUUAUCAAUUUAUGAAAUAUAAGUAUAUACAAAGUUGAAAACUAAUACAUACAAUAUUGUAUUAUUAAAGAAACAAAAGUUACAUUGUCAGAAACAUAUAUAUAUGUGUGCGCAUUCUAUUAAACAGAUACAUAUUUGAAACUAGCCUACGUUCCGGUAAAGAAUUAUAAAAUAAGAACUACAUUACGAAACAU